UGAAUUCAUGGUGAAUUGGGAUGGCUUGCGUACAAAGGACAAGGAGCGAGUUCUUGUACUUGCUGCAACUAAUAGACCAUUCGACCUUGAUGAAGCAGUUAUUAGGAGACUUCCACGGAGGUUGAUGGUAAACUUGCCAGAUGCUCCGAACAGGGAGAAAAUUUUGAGAGUGAUAUUGGCCAAGGAAGAGUUAACGCCAAAUGUUGAUCUGGAAGCUAUAGCAAAUAUGACUGAAGGGUAUUCCGGAAGUGAUUUAAAGAAUUUAUGUGUCACAGCUGCUCAUUGCCCAAUUAGAGAAAUAUUGGAGAAAGAGAAAAAGGAAAAAGCAUUGGCAGUUUCAGAUAGCAGGCCAGUCCCUGCAUUGCAUA
rnacentral:misc_RNA from 1 species